UACAGAGGUCCCAAGCGUUGUUCGGAUUCAUUGGGCGUAAAGGGUGCGUAGGUGGCGCCGUAAGUCGGGUGUGAAAUUUCGGAGCUUAACUCCGAAACUGCAUUCGAUACUGCGGUGCUUGAGGACUGGAGAGGAGACUGGAAUUCAUGGUGUAGCAGUGAAAUGCGUAGAUAUCGUGAGGAAGACCAGUGGCGAAGGCGGGUCUCUGGACAGUUCCUGACGCUGAGGCGCGAAGGCCAGGGGAGCAAACGGG
rnacentral:rRNA from 1 species